rnacentral:rRNA from 1 species
UGGCUCAGAUUGAACGCUGGCGGCAGGCCUAACACAUGCAAGUCGAGCGGUAACAGAACUAGCUUGCUAGUUGCUGACGAGCGGCGGACGGGUGCGUAACACGUAGGAAUCUGCCCAGUAGUGGGGGAUAGCCCGGAGAAAUUCGGAUUAAUACCGCAUACGCCCUAAGGGGGAAAGCAGGGGAUCUUCGGACCUUGCGCUACUGGAUGAGCCUGCGUCGGAUUAGCUUGUUGGUGGGGUAAAGGCCUACCAAGGCAACGAUCCGUAGCUGAUCUGAGAGGAUGAUCAGCCACACUGGGACUGAGACACGGCCCAGACUCCUACGGGAGGCAGCAGUGGGGAAUAUUGCACAAUGGGCGAAAGCCUGAUGCAGCCAUGCCGCGUGUGUGAAGAAGGCUCUAGGGUUGUAAAGCACUUUCAGCGAGGAGGAAAGGUUGACGAUUAAUACUCGUUAGCUGUGACGUUACUCGCAGAAGAAGCACCGGCUAACUCCGUGCCAGCAGCCGCGGUAAUA